GCCACCUAGUAUUUAAAGAGACAUUUCUAACACUGGGAUUUUAAGCAUAAUUUAAAUUAAAAGCUCCUCUUCUCUCCCUUCCUAUUAGAUACAGUUUAGUUUCUCUUUUUUAAUGAGACUUAAGCCAAGUUUUCCAUCUUUGUUUGUCUUCAAUACUCAAACUAAUAUUUAGCAUGAAUUUUCUUCUUCCUUCCUUUAGGAGAUGAUCUAACUUGCCAUAAUUAAAAAUACAUCAGAGAUGUCCUGUGGUACCAGAAUCCUACUCUAGAAUAGUAGAAAGGGUAUUGGAUCCAAGAUCUGGGUUGAAAUCCCAACUUUGACACUUGUUAUGGGUAUGAUCAACUGUAAAUCUCUCAACUUCUCCAGAUUACCUUUUCCUGGCAAUAAUAUACAGCUCCUUACUGUCUCCAGCAUUCUAGAAAGACCUCUAUGUUAGAAGCCAAGCUAGUCAACAGGGCCCCACAAUUGGAAAAGAGAAAAUUCCCAUGAAUUCCUCCUACGUCAGCAAACACGCUGAACAUGUAUGCGAGUAGUUAUCUUUUCUUAUUUUAAAGGGGCAUGGGGAGCUAUUCCAAUCUGAUUAACCUUUCUAGAGUUAAAUGGUCUAAUUUAUUGACAGUAAAGCCCAAUUCACAGUUGCA